rnacentral:lncRNA from 1 species
AUCAUCAUCAUACUCAAUAUAAGUUACAUUAUUUUAUCUAGUCCGGUAUAUCCAAACAUUAAUUUUUUACCCGAGAAUAGUAGUUCUCGGUUAUCCCUACCAACACCUUCAUUUUCUAUAUAAAACUACCUAAAUUGUUCUUAUUCCCGAGAACAACUCAAUUUUCAUCCAAACACUAAUUUUCUUAUCCCCAUACUUGUACCUAUCCAUGUAAUAGCUAGUUCUUUCUUAUAAUUGAACCAAACGGUAUCUUAGCAGAAUACAAAUAUUUCCUACUAUAAACAUGAAUUUACUUAUUUUCUCUCUGAGUCCAUUUAUGUUAUGCUCAUGUGGUGUAUUCAAAAUUGCCACAGGAUGCAAAUUGAAAGAUUUUAGAGAAUAACGAUUGUUUUAUAUAAUCUUAAUAUAGUACAAGAGCACAAGAUUCUGAGUUCGAGUUCUGUUGACUGUUAGGUUAUUAGAAUUUUAGUUUUCUUUCAUUUAUUUUAAAUAUACGUUUUGGGUCUAUAAAAAUGUUCCGAGCUUAUCAAAAUAUCCUGAGUUCAGAUAUAAAAAAAAGUAUUGAAUAUAAAUAUAAAAAAUACUGUUCUUGAGUUUGAAAUUUGCUAGACUCUUAGCGUUAUUAAUUUUCUUUCAUUUAAUUUAAAUAUACGUUUUGAGCCUAUCAAAAUAUUUUGAGUUUAGAUAUGAGAAAAAGUGAUAAAUGUAAAUAUAAAAAAUGCUGUUCUCUAUGCUGAUCUUGAUCAGUCCUCUUCUCCUAUGAAUCCUUUCUAUCUUUGAUUUUAUUGAUUUUUGGUUAAACUUCAAAUACCCCCUAUGGUUUUACACUUUUUCACUUUAAUACUAUGUGGUUUAAAAUAUAUCAAGUUAGCCCUUAUGGUUUCGUACUUUCUCACUUUAGUACCCUAUGAUUUAAAAUGUAUCAAGUUAGUAUCCUUUAGUUUCAUUUUUCUCUUUUUAUUAACCAUUUCACUAAUUUUUUUCAUUAAAUCAGUAACAAAGUUAAAACUAAAGGGUACUAAAGUGAAUAUUUGAUAAACCUAGGUAUGAUAUUUGAAAUUUUUUGUAUAUAAGUUAACGAAAUAUUAACGGACGAAAAAAAAUCAAGGACAAAGUUAAAACUAAAGAGUACUAAAGUAAAUAUUCGAUAAACUUAGAUAGGGUAUAUGAAGUUUUUUGUAUAUGAUUUAACGAAAUAUUAAUAAAAGAGCCGACAAAAAGAGAAAAAUGAAACUAUAGGGUACUAAAUUGAUGCACUUUAAAGUAUACAUGAUAUUAAAGUGAGAAAGUACGAAAUCACAUGUUACUAAAUUGAUGCACUUUAAACCACAGAAUACUAAAAUGAAAAAGUGCGAAAAUAUAGGGGUGGUAUUUGAAGUUUUCUCUUGAUUUUUUGAAC